UACGUAGGGGGCAAGCGUUGUUCGGAAUUACUGGGCGUAAAGGGCGCGUAGGCGGCACAGCAAGUCGGGAGUGAAAGCCCGGGGCUCAACCCCGGAACUGCUUUCGAAACUGCUGAGCUAGAGUACAGAAGGGGCAACCGGAAUUCCCAGUGUAGCGGUGAAAUGCGUAGAUAUUGGGAAGAACACCGGAGGCGAAGGCGGGUUGCUGGGCUGAUACUGACGCUGAGGCGCGAAAGCCAGGGGAGCAAACGGG
rnacentral:rRNA from 1 species